AUUUAAGCUUUAGUUUUCUUGCAAUAUUUUCUCAGUACUGGUGUUUCAUGUGGGUUUUUUUUUUUUUAAUGUUUGAGUGAGAGACAAAGAGUGCAAGUGGGGGAGGGACAGAGAGGGAGAGACACACACAGAGUCCAAAGUGGGCACCAGGUCUUACCUGUCACCACAGAGCCCCAUGGGAGGGUAGAACCCAUGAAGAGUGAGAUCAUGCAUGACCUGAGCCAAAGUCAGACACUCAACCGAGCCACCUAGGCGCCCCUUGAUGUGCGUUUUGAUUCACCUAAGGAUAAAUAUGGGGACUUCUGAUGUCUAAUUGACUUUUUAACUCUUGAAAUUCAUCUUUCUCUUCCCUGUUUGGAGCCUAAGUGACAAUGUGGAGGGAGUUGCCAUCUCUUAAGACAUCAGGAGGAGGAACACAUCACCAGAGUAGAGGGAAUGAAAUUAGUGUAAUUUUACAUAGAAAUGAUUAGGAAACAAGUGAUGAUAUGAGCCUGAGGUUUGGAGUGAGUACUUUGCCAUGACCUGGCUCUUCGUGAAAUGUGAAGAUGAGAAAACUCUCUAUCUACAAGCCCAUCAAGAAGCCUGAGCUUAGAGACAAAGCCAGAUAUUGCCAGACAGGGUGUGUGUCACAAGAGAGGUUUAAACCAUGGUUCUGAGUCUGAGGUGGAGGAAGCCGUUCAUGCCAGGGGAGAAUGAGUGGAGAUGAGAUUUUUGCAAAUGCGGGUAAUGUAUUCUGCACAGGCUCCAUAGACUGUGGUGAUCCUGUGGCGCUGUCUGUUGAGAGCCAGGGUGGCUCCCUACACUUAACGAGCCCUCAAACGCUGGUUGUUCAUCCCUUUGAAUGCAGUGGCGGUGGUGGGGAGAAGAGUGAUCUCAGGACAUGAGAGCUCUCACACUGGGCCAACAAAAGAGAAGUUUGCACUUUCUGGUCAGAUGACAGAAUCAGUCCCUGUUGGAGGAGUCUGUUCUAGAGCUUACAUGUGUUCCCUGUAAUUGGGUGCUUCGUGUGUGUUGAAUAAUAUUCCUUUAAGGUUGGAGGGUAACAUUCUCACGUUGGGAUGAAAAAAGUUUGUCUUCUAGGAAUUGCCAUUAAUCCAGACCCUCCAGCCACUAAGUGUAAAGCUGAGAUGGUACCCGUAUGUUUGAUUCCAAAGACCUUGUCCUCCAGGGCCCCCGCCCUAGGGUUCAUGAAAGGCAACCUGUGAGCAGCAGGAAGUCAUCCAAGGCCUUCGAGUAGUCAGUCAGUCAGCAGCAGUUUGAGCUUUCCUUGUGUGGAAUUCCAAAUAGCACCUGGGAGUGUGAGUGGCUCAAAUCGAGACUAAAUGAUGGUUUUGUUUGCUCCAUUAUUUGCAGGGACCUAUUUAUGUACCUUAAUAAUUGGAGGAGAGAAAUGUAAGUUGAUAGGAUUUGAUUUUUGUUUCAUCUCUGGUGGUGACAUAAGUAUUUGAAGUGAUUGGAUUUUCUAAGAAGGGUGCUUCCAGAUGGGAGAGAAAUGAGAAGAUAUUUUAUUGUGUUUCUCCAUUUUGGACAAUAUUUUAAAUAGGAAUCUCAUUGAAAUAAGGUUUUCUUAGGUUUAACAUGCUGCUAAAACUUGAUUUCUUCAGGCACAAUGGGAAAGCUAAAAUGUUAGUUACACCCACCUGUCAGAUCAUGUGUGCUGCUAAUACACUGGGAUUAUUUGAGGUCACUGGUUUGGUAACAGCCUUAGAACAUGUUUUGUCUCCUUUUAGUUAGUUUACAGUGAAUAAUUGAGAAUAUCAAUACUUUUAAGAAAGAAAACAGAGAACUUCAUUGCUGAAAAAAUAUCCAUUUGGGAACAGAAGAAAAUAAAAAGGCCCUGGAAGACAAGUGUAAUGCAUUGAGGUCUGUGAAAGCAACCAAAGAAGCAAAAGUCAAACAGCUGAAGGACAAAGCAGGCAUCCUUGAAGAAUUCUGUGAAGAAAGAAAAGUGGCUAUAGAAGACUAAAAUGUUCAGGAAGCUGAAAAUGACACAGUGUGAACUGGCGGCAAAGAAGAAUCAGCUGGCAGCUGCAGGGAAAAUGUGAAAAUAGCCAUGAAAGAAAUAAACAAGUACAAAUCGCAGUUCAUGAGAAUAAUGCUCAGGACAACUGGAUCAAGCCUCAGAUCUGGGAGAGGGAAAUGGCAGAGCAGAGCCGAAAGGUCGCCCACUUGAAACACAGACUGGAUGUGAUGGAAGGAAAGAGGCUGCUUGAGGGAUACAGGAGGCGGAGAACAAUGCCUGGAAGUCCAGAGACACAGAACCCUCCGAGGAGAGUAAGCAGCAUGUGGUGAUGUGCAGCAGCCUAAUUUCUGCGGCAAAGCGUUUUCCUGUGGGUGAUCAUCGUGUGUCCUGGACAGAACCACAAUUACUACCUAAGGAUAGCAGGGUCCUUAGCAGAUCCAGAAACUGGUGCAACCUCUGUGAGUUACAGCAGCUCUGACUGUACGAAGAAUGCAGACAAGGACAAGGACUUAAUUACUCUGUGUCCUGUAGUAUGCUUCAAGUCAGAAUUCCCUAUGAAUUAAGAUGAACACAUCUGAGCUUUGGAGACAUUCACCACAAGUCACUUGUUCCUCACAGAAGACUUCCUCCAGGCAUCCUUCACUCCCCAGAGGUCUCAGAGGCCUUUGACAACACUUCAAGAGGGAAGACUCCUUUCUCAGGGAGAGGAGCAGAGGAGGCAAAGUGAGGGUCCGGCUGCAGACCUUUUCGCCAGGAGUGGCUGUGAUUCCACGAGCAGAAUAGGAGCCAUUUAUUCCCACUCAAUUUGUUGUGUUCCUAAUAUACCAAAAUCAGAGCAUCAGGAGUCACUGCAGAGGAGGCAUGCAGGGUGAACUGGGACAUAGAUGCCUGCCUGUCUGGAGAAUGCUGCUUCAUCACUAUGUAAUUACUUCUGUUAACCCUCUAGGACAGGACCCUUGCCAUUUUACUUCCGCAGACACGGGCAGUGAUGUGUGGUGACAGCAGUUCCUCCUCUUGCAUCUACCACCCCCAGCUGUAGGUGGUAUCCAGUGGCAGGGACAGAGUUUUCAGGUACUGAUGCUACGCUCUUGGAUCCUGGUGGCAGAGAAGGUGGCAGGUGCUGGCACGUUCUUCUCUGGGUUACAGCUGCUUUUGGUAUUGGUUCUCUUGUCUGCAUAGGCACGUAGCUGUCACUUCUGUUCUGCAGGACAGUGUGGAUCCAUGGGGACCUCCUCGGUUAACUGGACGAUUCUGCAUGCCCUACCCUAGAGGCUCCCCACCCCCAUGGACCAUUAGGCACGUCCACCUCCUGAACCUUGGCGGCCCUGAACCCCUCCACCCGCAACACUUGGUGUCUCUCGUGGAGAAGGAUUGGGGCUGUCUGCAGAAAAGCAGGCAUAGCGCUUCAGCAGACAUGCCCUGUACACAUGCCACGUGCUGGGCCCUGUGAGGCAUGAGGCACAGCCUAACGUGUGUCCAUCCAGUUGCACCCCCAGCCAUCCCUCGUUGUUCGGGCUUUUGGCAGAUCCAGAAGCAGGCGACACUCCCAAGAGUGACAUCAACCCUGGCUCUGCCAAAACUGCCAAGAAGCACAAGGACAACUAUUUUGAAAUUUCAAGAGGACUGUGCGCGGUGACAGACAGUGAUUAUGUAUCUAUUUGAAGAAGGUGUCAGACCUGCCUGAAUGCUUUCCCUGCCCAUCCUGUCCCCUCCACUUUGUCCUUCCUACUGUCCCCUAAUACACCUUUCACCAUUCUG